rnacentral:rRNA from 1 species
AUUGAACGCUGGCGGCAGGCCUAACACAUGCAAGUCGAACGAGUGGCGGACGGGUGAGUAAUGUCUGGGAAACUACCUGAUGGAGGGGGAUAACUACUGGAAACGGUAGCUAAUACCGCAUACUAUCGGAUGAACCCAUAUGGGAUUAGCUAGUAGGUGAGGUAAUGGCUCACCUAGGCGACGAUCCCUAGCUGGUCUGAGAGGAUGAUCAGCCACACUGGGACUGAGACACGGCCCAGACUCCUACGGGAGGCAGCAGUGGGGAAUAUUGCACAAUGGGCGCAAGCCUGAUGCAGCCAUGCCGCGUGUGUGAAGAAGGCCUUCGGGUUGUAAAGCACUUUCAGCGAGGAGGCGUUACUCGCAGAAGAAGCACCGGCUAACUCCGUGCCAGCAGCCGCGGUAAUUC